CUCCUACGGGGGGCAGCAGUGAGGAAUAUUGGUCAAUGGGCGGAAGCCUGAACCAGCCAAGUCGCGUGAGGGAAUAAGGCCCUACGGGUCGUAAACCUCUUUUGCCGGGGAGCAAGGGCCGGGACGCGUCCCGGCCCGGAGAGUACCCGGAGAAAAAGCAUCGGCUAACUCCGUGCCAGCAGCCGCGGUAAUACGGAGGAUGCGAGCGUUAUCCGGAUUUAUUGGGUUUAAAGGGUGCGCAGGCGGAGGUGCAAGUCAGUGGUCAAAUUGCGGGGCUCAACCCCGUACUGCCGUUGAAACUGCAU
rnacentral:rRNA from 1 species